CCUACGGGAGGCAGCAGUGGGGGAUAUUGCACAAUGGGGGAAACCCUGAUGCAGCGACGCCGCGUGAGUGAAGAAGUAUUUCGGUAUGUAAAGCCCUAUCAGCAGGGCAGAAAGAAGACGGUACCUGACUAAGAAGCACCGGCUAACUACGUGCCAGCAGCCGCGGUAAUACGGAGGGGGCGAGCGUUAUCCGGAUUCACUGGGUGUAAAGGGAGCGUAGACGGCUUUGCAAGCCAGGAGUGAAAGCCCGGGGCCCAACCCCGGGACUGCGCUUGGAACUGUGCGGCUGGAGUGCGGGAGGGGCAGGCGGAAUUCCUGGUGUAGCGGUGAAAUGCGUAGAUAUCAGGAGGAACACCGGAGGCGAAGGCGGCCUGCUGGACCGCGACUGACGUUGAGGCUCGAAAGCGUGGGGAGCGAACAGGAUUAGAUACCCCAGUAGUC
rnacentral:rRNA from 1 species